UGAGUAACCUGCCCUUAAACUCUGGGAUAAGCCUGGGAAACUGGGCUAAUACCGGAUAUGACUCCUCAUCGCAUGGGUGGGGGGUGGAAAGCUUUAUUGUGGUUUUGGAUGGACUCGCGGCCUAUCAGCUAGUUGGUGUGGGUAACGGCCCACCAAGGCGACGACGGGUAGCCGGCCUGAGAGGGUGACCGGCCACACUGGGACUGAGACACGGCCCAGACUCCUACGGGAGGCAG
rnacentral:rRNA from 1 species